GAUGAACGCUAGCGGCAGGCCUAAUACAUGCAAGUCGAACGCUCAGUAGCAAUACUGGGAGUGGCGCACGGGUGCGUAAACGCGUACACAAUCUACCUCUAAGCGGGGACACCUCCUGGAAACGGGGAUUAAUACCGCAUAAUAUGCCGAAGUCGCAUGACUUUGGUAUUAAAGCAGCAAUGCACUUAGAGAUGAGUGUGCGUCCCAUUAGGUAGUUGGUGAGGUUAACGGCUCACCAAGCCUAUGAUGGGUAGCCGGUCUGAGAGGAUGGUCGGCCACACGGGCACUGAGACACGGGCCCGACUCCUACGGGAGGCAGCAGUAAGGAAUAUUGGUCAAUGGUGGAAACACUGAACCAGCCAU
rnacentral:rRNA from 1 species